rnacentral:rRNA from 1 species
GUGGGGAAUCUUGCGCAAUGGGCGAAAGCCUGACGCAGCCAUGCCGCGUGGAUGAUGAAGGUCUUAGGAUUGUAAAAUCCUUUCACCGGUGAAGAUAAUGACUGUAGCCGGAGAAGAAGCCCCGGCUAACUUCGUGCCAGCAGCCGCGGUAAUACGAAGGGGGCUAGCGUUGCUCGGAUUUACUGGGCGUAAAGGGCGCGUAGGCGGACAUUUAAGUCAGGGGUGAAAUCCCGGGGCUCAACCUCGGAACUGCCUUUGAUACUGGGUGUCUUGAGUAUGAGAGAGGUGUGUGGAACUCCGAGUGUAGAGGUGAAAUUCGUAGAUAUUCGGAAGAACACCAGUGGCGAAGGCGACACACUGGCUCGUUACUGACGCUGAGGCGCGAAAGCGUGGGGAGCAAACAGGAUUAGAUACCCUUGUAGUCC